UACGUAGGUGGCAAGCGUUAUCCGGAUUUACUGGGUGUAAAGGGCGUGUAGGCGGGGACGCAAGUCAGAUGUGAAAACCACGGGCUCAACCUGUGGCCUGCAUUUGAAACUGUGUUUCUUGAGUACUGGAGAGGCAGACGGAAUUCCUAGUGUAGCGAUGAAAUGCGUAGAUAUUAGGAGGAACACCAGUGGCGAAGGCGGUCUGCUGGACAGCAACUGACGCUGAGGCGCGAAAGCGUGGGGAGCAAACAGG
rnacentral:rRNA from 1 species